GGGGGCCGAGAAGGCUCAGAGGGCGGAAGGAACUCACAGAGCAAACGCAGGCGCUGGAAUUGGAACCUGGGUCUCUCUGGCCCCUGUGGCCCCUGAGCCUCCAUCUUUGUUGCCCCGGGGGGUCUGGGACUCCAGGGUGGGGUUGGCCUCCCGCUGCCGGCCCUGUCUCUGGAGCUUGGCCACAUCCUACCCACGGAACAGGCUGGGACAGGCUCUUGGGGCUGCAGCCCGGCUCCCCUAAGCUUCUCUACCUGUGCGGUGCCUUCCUCCCUAUGGCUGGCUCAGCUGCUGCUUGGACAUGUGGCUGCCAUUUGGGAAGGAUCUUCCCUCUUUGGUGACAACAUUUUCCCUUGCAGUUUCCUGCCACCAAUCCUGGCAGGAGUCGGCGGAUGGCGAGUGUCUCUCAGCCUCUCUUCUGAGGGUGGUGCAGAGUAGGAAUUGUGUCCCAUGGCUGGGGCUUCCUUCAGGGGCCAUGUGGCCAGCACCACCCAUGCAUCUAUCCUCAGGGGCCACCAGGACCACCACAGGGGCCUUCUGUCCUGUGACCUGUGAGCAGCCUCCAGCAGCAGGAAUCCUAGAAUCGCAAGAUCACAGAUGCCUUCGAGGAGGGAGAAGCCCACAGAAUCUUAGGAUCGCAACAAAAAUCUCUUGGAAUCGCUACAAAAGACUCAAAGCAACAUGGAACCAUUCAGAGAAACUCAAGAGUUGAAAUAGAAACCUCCGAGUCAGGAUGUUUGCGCAGUGAAUGACCAUGUUCCACCUUCCUCACCUUGCUCUGCCUUGACACUGUGAUGGCUCGCUUCACUGUCCUCUAAUAACUUCUAGGGACGGGGAGCUCAUCACCUGCCUGGGCACCUGCCUUAUUGUUGAGCAGAGUUGACUGCUGGUACUGAGUCGAAGUCUGUCCUCGUGUGACUCCCAGCCCUGUCUCCCUGCCUUCUGCCAUAUAUAGAACCAGUAACGUGGUCACCAGGACAGAGACUAAACUUCUGGCCUCAAACAAUACUUUCAGGAUGGGGGGUGAUGGCAGGCGAAGGCCGCAACACUUCCUAGGGAUGAUGUUCCCUCUGCCUUGGGACCCUGCCUGGGACACAGCAAGCCUUCCUCAGCCCAGGAAGCCUGCUUGGUGCCCCUCCAGCCCUCCAGAGGCAGGAAGUUGAGCAAGGUUAAAAACCACUGGAAACAGCCAUUGGGAAGGGUAGAAUCUGCCUCCCGCCCCAUUCCAGCCACAAGAGGGUAGAAGGAUUGGAUGAUGAAAUUGAGCACCAUUCUGACCGGAGGAACUCAAUUUUGUUAGUGUUUAAAAUGUCAGCUCUGGGCAGAGUGGGGUUUGGUGGGAGGGCCCGGUCUUCUGUGAGCCCAAGGCAGCACUGGAGGUGUGGGCCCUGCAGCCAGACUGCCCAGUCCCCCAGUUUUGCCCCCUAGCAGCCGU
rnacentral:lncRNA from 1 species